rnacentral:misc_RNA from 1 species
GAUGAAGAACGUAGCGAAAUGCGAUAAGUAGUGUGAAUUGCAGAAUUCAGUGAAUCAUCGAAUCUUUGAACGCACAUUGCGCCUCCUGGUAUUCCGGGAGGCAUGCCUGUUCGAGCGUCAUUAAAAUCACUCAAGCUUAGGUUUACCUAUUGCUUGGUCUUGGAGAUGGAAGCCAAUUUAUUGGAAUCCUCUUCGAAAUUCAAUGGCGAAGACCCUUGCUCUCCCAAGUGUAGUAAUAACUUAUGUCACUGAAGGAAGCGAGAAAUCUUCUGCCGUAACCCCCAUAUUUUCUAUGAUUGACCUCGGAUCAGGUAGGGAUACCCGCUGAACUUAAGCAUAUCAAUAAGCGGAGGG